GACGAACGCUGGCGGCGUGCCUAAUACAUGCAAGUCGAACGCAUUUUCUUUCACCGUAGCUUGCUACACCGAAAGAAAAUGAGUGGCGAACGGGUGAGUAACACGUGGGUAACCUGCCCAUCAGCGGGGGAUAACACUUGGAAACAGGUGCUAAUACCGCAUAAUUCUAUUUACCGCAUGGUAAAUGGAUGAAAGGCGCUUUUGCGUCACUGAUGGAUGGACCCGCGGUGCAUUAGCUAGUUGGUGGGGUAACGGCCUACCAAGGCUGCGAUGCAUAGCCGACCUGAGAGGGUGAUCGGCCACACUGGGACUGAGACACGGCCCAGACUCCUACGGGAGGCAGCAGUAGGGAAUCUUCGGCAAUGGACGCAAGUCUGACCGAGCAACGCCGCGUGAGUGAAGAAGGUUUUCGGAUCGUAAAACUCUGUUGUUAGAGAAGAACAAGGAUGAGAGUGGAAAGUUCAUCCCUUGACGGUAUCUAACCAGAAAGCCACGGCUAACUACGUG
rnacentral:rRNA from 1 species